rnacentral:rRNA from 1 species
UGGAGAGUUUGAUCCUGGCUCAGAUUGAACGCUGGCGGCAUGCCUUACACAUGCAAGUCGAACGGUAACAGGUCUUCGGAUGCUGACGAGUGGCGAACGGGUGAGUAAUACAUCGGAACGUGCCCGAUCGUGGGGGAUAACGAGGCGAAAGCUUUGCUAAUACCGCAUAAGAUCUAUGGAUGAAAGCAGGGGACCGCAAGGCCUUGCGCGAACGGAGCGGCCGAUGGCAGAUUAGGUAGUUGGUGGGGUAAAGGCUUACCAAGCCUACGAUCUGUAGCUGGUCUGAGAGGACGACCAGCCACACUGGGACUGAGACACGGCCCAGACUCCUACGGGAGGCAGCAGUGGGGAAUUUUGGACAAUGGGCGCAAGCCUGAUCCAGCCAUGCCGCGUGCAGGAUGAAGGCCUUCGGGUUGUAAACUGCUUUUGUACGGAACGAAAAGCCUUCUUCUAAUAAAGGGAGGUCAUGACGGUACCGUAAGAAUAAGCACCGGCUAACUACGUGCCAGCAGCCGCGGUAAU